rnacentral:lncRNA from 1 species
CCAGAAUCAAUUACACAUUUAUAACCCCAUAAAUUGUGUUUGAAGCAUUAGGGUUUAAUUACGCUAUUAUUACAUCAAUGUUAUGCUAGAAGCAUUUAUCCAAUUUAAUACUUAUGUGUAAUGCUAGAAGCAUUAAUGAGAUUUGAACUCAUUGCCUUUGGUACUUAACCGUUGCAUAAAUGAUAUUUAUAGUAAUUUAUGUCAUAUAUUAACUGUCGGUUACCAAAUUCAAAUCGUGUCAGUUUUAUUUAAUUAGUUCUCAAUUAUGUUAUCGUUUAUAUCGAUAAUUAUUAUGAGUAUGUAAUGACACAUUAAUGCCAGAAGCAAUUGGUGAUGCAAAUGAGUUAGUUUUGCAAGUAACCGCUACGUUAUUGACAUUUAUUGGUUCAGUAAUUUUAUUGCAUAUGCAUUAUGUCGAUGUGAAUUAAAUUGUUUCCGUUAUAAUUUAAUUUAUUUUGGUUUCAUAUAAUUACUUUCACAUUAAGUUUGUAUGUUACGAUUUAAUAACAUAUAUUGCAUUGGUUUAUGUUAUAUUGGUGAAUAUUAAUGAUGUUAAGUCAGAAGCUUAAAUCAAGCCUGAAUAUACACAAAUUGAGCCAGAUGUUCGACGCAAGCUGCAAGGCUAGCACAUAAGCUGCCAUGUGUCGCCAUGAGUCCAUACAAUGAAUAUAAUUCUUCUCAAACUAGGCUCAUCCAGUUGGAUGCAAUGUCUAGGCAAGUUCUUUUGAGGCUGUGUACUUAAGUGAGCCUCGCUCCACCACCUCAUCAUUGCUUACCUGGUCGUAUACAAUUGGAGUUACCAAAAGGGUUGACUAAUAACAUUGCAUUUCUUGGUAGACCAUUUUGAGUCCAGUAGGCCCACUCUCCUUAUACGGGACCUAGAAGCCCAACAUACCUCUCAGAUUGUGCCCCUUAUACUUGUAAAGUAUGAAGAAGUUUAUUUCUUUCACUUUAAUUAAAGUAAAUUUCUUUAGUCCAGCAGAAUCAAAUAAAAGGAAAAUAAUCUAAUGACACUGGAUUUUCGUACCUAGUCAUUAUGUAUGUCUAUAAGACAUUCCAAAUACUUUCUCAUAAUGGCUGUUGUUAAAUAUUCACCAUAUUUUGUAAUACCCCGGAAAUUUGAUAUUAGUUUCUAAUAUUAUUUGGGAAUUUUUGAGUUAGAAGUUAGUGUGUUUGAGGUUCGAAGGAAGAGCGGAAGUGUUCGGAUGCGUAAUUUACCCGAAAGGGUUUCUUUUUCGUUCAGGGUCAUAGAGUUGACUUUUUAUUCGUUGGGUUUCUUGAGAAACCUUCUUCACGAAAGUUGUAGAGCAUGACGAUACGAGUUCGUAGACACGUGGCACGCGUAAAACGGAUUUCGUAUGAGAAAGUUAUGGUCAGUAGAAGUUAUGGCUUUUCGAGAUUAUGUAGGUUAAAUAGGAAAAUUUUCAUUUUGGGUCCUCAUAAUUUUCAGAACCCAUUUUCUUCCCCUUUCUUCUCCCUCCCCGACCCCGAGAGAACCCAAGCUCCCCAGUCGACCCGACCCGGACCCGGUUGACCCGACCCGGAUUUUUCGGCCAUCUCCGGCCGACCUAGGCGACGGCACCAGUCGGAGUUGCUUCUCCUUGGCGGCGCAAUCUUCCCUGUGUUGGUGGAUGAGGAUGACCCGAGCUGAGCUGUGCAAGCCGAGCGCCACAGUGAGGGCGGGCGACCCGGUUUGCAACCCGAUUGGAUUCCUUCCUCCGGCGGCGGCGACGCGGCUUGGAACCGGUCGGGAUAGGAAGUGUUAGGCGUCCUCGUUCGAUCCUUGGUGGUCUUGAAGCUCAAAUCGCGGUGUAGAGUUACGGUGGUGAAUCCCAAUCUUUCCGGCGAGUUUCCGGCAUGUUUCCGGCUGAUUAGGGCGAAACCUCAGGUAUUAAAAGUGUUCCUUUUGCUGUGCUCUUUAAGGUUGCUGUUGGAAGUUUGUUGAGUUGUUAAAAUUUCGGGGUGGCACGUGGGGCCCACUCGCCGCCGCCUGUGGUGGCGCGUGCCUGUGCGUCCGGUAGUGUCUGUGGUGUUUUGGGGUGUUGGUUAGGUAGUACUCUUCGUUACGAGCGUGUUGGUAUGUGGGUUGUAGGUUUUGGUUACCAUUAUUGCAUGCUAGGGUUUCCACUUGGUGCUAAGUUCUGUUCGGUUCAGUUUUGGGUAAAUCCGAACAUGAGAAUCUGGUUAGUAGUUCUAUAGGUUGUGUAGGACGUUUCGGUGACCUUUUAGAGGUCAAGGAGGAGGAUUUGUCUCGAGUGACAAGCUCGUGGGUUAGGAUAUGAGUUUCGGUUCGAGUCGGAUAAUGUUGUUGUUGAUAGUUACUAAGGUUAACGUUUUUGUUAAUAGGUGACUUGUGGAGUAUGGUUUUGAGCUAUAUGCUUGUGUUGUGCGUGUGAAGACGCAGCGGGAGUUAAGGUGAGUAAAAUCUCAUCAAGGUCCACUUUGUGGCCUAUUUAUUUUGAUGAUGAUUGUGAUGUUGAUUUUGAUGAUGAUUUGAUGAUGAUUAUGAUGGUGAUUUUGAUGAUGAUGAUAAUUAUGGCUAAUUGUGAAGUUGUUCUUGAAAGAAAAUGAUUUUGUUUUUAAAUAUAAAUGAGCUUGAUUGUCAACGGCUCAUGGUAAGUGAAAACAAGUUUUCUGUUAAUAAUAUAAUCUUUCAAAAGGACUUCCGAUCAUGAGUCAUAAUUCGAGUCGGUAGAUUAUCCUUAUUUUUAAUAUUUAUAUCCAUGUGUUUAUGUGUGAAAGACACGUUAUGAUAAUGUGAUAGUGUGAUGUAGAAUUGUUGUUUAAUUAGUCAAACCGGAUUCCAAGCCUUUAAUCAGGUGAUUGGUUACGGUUAUGAUGAUAUUAUUAUUUUUGUGAUCUGAUAAGUGUUAUGAUGUGAGAGUAAUAGAAUGUGUGCCUUAGUGGUGAGUGAGUGCAUUCGUUGUGGAAUGGUGCCUUAGGGGUGAUUGUUGCAUUAGUUGUGAAUGUGUGUGCCUUAGUGGUGAUGGUGUGCAUUAGAUUAGGAGCCUUCGUGGUGGACCGGGAACCAAGCCUUGGCCGGAUGAUUGGUUACGGUCAGUAUAGAGCUCUAGUCUGUCGGUACUUCAUGGGGGAUGACUAUGUGUUGACGAACUCAUGAGUACGUGUUUGUCUAGUUACUUAUGGGGGAUGACUAUGCGUUGACGAACCCAUAAGUAAGAGUACAUAAACGAUUGUGUGAUGUUUUUAUAUGAUGUCAUUUAAUUUCCUUGUUUCGAGUAUUUCCUGAACUAUGCUUGUCCGCAGGAGAUUCUCUAAUUUUAAUUGUGUGAUUUUAAUGGAAAUCCUGAACUAUACUUUUUGUAGGAUUUCAUUUAUGAUUUUGAGUGAUUGUGAAUUUUUGUGUUUUCUUAAUUUCUCCUUUCGAUUUCUCUUGUUUGUAAGUGUUUUUCUGAAUUUAUUUUUAAUGCAUGAAUUCUUGGUGUUUAUCUUAUGUGUUGUUGGGUUGAGUAUGUUGUUAGAGAUUUACUCAUACGAGCUUUUAAAGCUUACCGGGUUUGUUGUUUACAACCCGGUGCACCAAUCCAUGGUGUAGAGGUUGUUUUUGCAGGUCAGGAUUAGUAGAGUUGAGGCUGCGGCAGUUAGGCUUGUUCCUCGUGUUUACUUUCUAGAUUUUUAUGAGUAUUGAGGGAGGUUUUACCUGUUUCAAAUUAUUCUUUCACAAGUUGUAAAACUAAAGUGUUGUAAUGUUUGUUUUUCUUUUAGUUAUCAUGCCUUGAAUUUGGAAUUUUUAUUUAUCCAAAAUUCGGGGUGUGACAUAUUUAAUGUGUAGUUAAUUGCCAGAAACAUUUACACAUAAUUACGUGACAUAUUCAUUAUGCUAAAUUAGUAGCGUGUAAUUAAUAUUAUCAAUUGUUACAUGAUUAUAAUUUGAAAAUACAUGUACCUAAUAAACCGGUAGUUCAAAAGUGAACCUGUAGUUCAUGUAUAAAUCGAACUUGUAGUUUCGAUAAUAACCCCCUUAAGAAACUUGAAGUUUCCUUUCAAAAUCUAUCAGACAUGAUAAAAUCCGUAGGUUUUAUCAUGUUAAUUGGUAGUCUCCAGAAGAAACAAUUUGAAGUUGACAUAUAUAUAUUCUUUGCUUGAAGCAAAACAUAAUUAAUUAGAGAAUAUUGAAUGAAAAGGCUUGUUGCCUUAGAAUUUAAAUCAAAAUUGAUAUGUGUUACAAAUAUUAAGGAACUGAGUGUUUUCGUCUGGCUGACGAGGCAAAAUACCUCUACGUUUCAAAAGAGCGUUAUCAAAAGGUAAGUUCAUUGAAACCAAUGCUUAAAACGUUG